CCUACGGGCGGCUGCAGUGGGGAAUAUUGGACAAUGGGCGCAAGCCUGAUCCAGCAAUGCCGCGUGUGUGAAGAAGGCCUGCGGGUUGUAAAGCACUUUCAGUGGGGAAGAACGGAUACGGGCCAAUACCCCGCAUCACUGACGUUACCCACAGAAGAAGCACCGGCUAACUCCGUGCCAGCAGCCGCGGUAAUACGGAGGGUGCAAGCGUUAAUCGGAAUCACUGGGCGUAAAGCGCACGUAGGCGGCCCGCUAAGUCAGAUGUGAAACCCCUGGGCUCAACCUGGGAAUGGCAUUUGAUACUGGCAAGCUCGAGUCCGAGAGAGGGGGGUGGAAUUCCAGGUGUAGCGGUGAAAUGCGUAGAUAUCUGGAGGAACACCGGUGGCGAAGGCGGCCCCCUGGCUCGUGACUGACGCUGAGGUGCGAAAGCGUGGGUAGCAAACAGGAUUAGAUACCCGUGUAGUC
rnacentral:rRNA from 1 species